rnacentral:rRNA from 1 species
UACAGAGGGUGCAAGCGUUAAUCGGAUUUACUGGGCGUAAAGCGUGAGUAGGUGGCUCGCUAAGUCGGUUGUGAAAUCCCUGGGCUCAACCUGGGAAUUGCAUUCGAGACUGAAUAGCUAGGGUACGGUAGAGGGAAGCGGAAUUUCCGGUGUAGCGGUGAAAUGCGUAGAUAUCGGAAGGAACAUCAGUGGCGAAAGCGGCUUCCUGGACCAGUACCGACGUUCAGGCACGAAAGCGUGGGGAGCAAACAGG